CUUUGACACACUCCUCUUACUGAUACUACACAUAGACACACAAAAACACACGCAAGCACUCAGACACACAGAGAAAAAACAGCCAGACACACAGAGAAAAAAUUGCCCGACACACAAACACAGUCCUCAUGUGACACCAAACAGAGGAGGAUUUGGUAUGGGAAAGAAUCGGUGAGUACUCACCUCAGGCUCCCCCUGUGCUCCGCGGCUCCACUGCAGAAUGGGUUGGUUACGCCGUACACACACUCACACUAAAACACUCCGGCUGUGUGUGAAGACAAUGAGACCGGGCAAGUGAGGGAGCAGCAGGCAAAGAGAAAAAGAAGGGAGGUGUGAGGAGGGGGGAUUGGAAAGAGUGAUAGAGAGAGAGAGAGAGAAGGGGUUGUAUGGAAGAUAUAUGGUGUUCUUAUAGCCUAUGUGGAGAGAUGGAGAGAUGGAGGAGAGGAGAGAUGGAGGAGAGACAUAGGAGUAGAGAGAUGGAGGAGAGAAGAGAUGGAGGACAGAAGAGAUGGAGGACAGAAGAGAUGGAGUAGAGGAGAGAUUGAGUAGAGGAGAGAUGGAGUAGAGGAGAGAUUGAGGGGAGAUAUAGGAGUGGAGAGAUAUAGGAGUGGAGAGAUGGAGGAGUGGAGAGAUGGAGGAGUGGAGAGAUGGAGGAGUGGAGAGAUUGAGGAGAGAUGGAGGAGAGAUGGAGUAGAGGAUAGAUGGAGGAGAGGAGAGAUGGAGGAGAGGAGAGAUGGAGGAGAGGAGAGAUGGAGGAGAGGAGAGAUUGAGUAGAGGAGAGAUUGAGUAGAGGAGAGAUUGAGGAGAGAUGGAAUAGAGGAGAGAUGGGGGAGAGGAGAGAUGGAGUAGAGGAGAGAUUGAGGAGAGGAGAGAUUGGGGGAGAGGAGAGAUUGAGGAGAGAUGGAGGAGAGGAGAGAUGGAGGAGAGUGGAGAGAUGGAGGAGAGUGAAGAGAUGGAGGAGAGUGAAGAGAUGGAGGAGAGAUGGAGGAGAGUGAAGAGAUGGAGAAGAGAUGGAGGAGAGUGAAGAGAUGGAGGAGAGUGAAGAGAUGGAGGAGAGUGAAGAGAUGGAGGAGAGGUGGAGGAGAAUGAUGAGAUGGAGGAGAGUGAAGAGAUGGAGGAGAGUGAAGAGAUGGAGGAGAGAUGGAGGAGAAUGAUGAGAUGGAGGAGAGUGAAGAGAUGGAGGAGAGUGAAGAGAUGGAGGAGAGAUGGAGGAGAGUGAAGAGAUGGAGGAGAGUGAAGAGAUGGAGGAGAGAUGGAGGAGAGUGAAGAGAUGGAGGAGAGAUGGAGGAGAGUGAAGAGGGCAAAGAGGGAAAAAAUAAAUGGGUGCUAAAAACAAAAAAUCCUGAAAAAAAGGGUCCCAGACGAAGCCAGGUUUCUCUCAUUCUGUUCUUUUGUGUGUGAGUGAGUGUGUGAGUGAGUGUGUGCGUGUGUGUGUGCGUGUGCGUGUGUGUGUGUGCGUGUGUGUGUGCGUGUGCGUGUGUGUGUGUGUGCGUGUGUGUGUGUGUGUGUGUGUGUGUGUGUGUGUGUAUUUGGCACUUUGCCCUAAGAGAGAGACAGACCAGAAAGCAAAGAGGUUGAAGGGGCUGACAGUAUGAGAAUUUGUUUGUUCGUCAAUUGACUUCUGUCUUGUGCAUUCUUCUCAGUCUGGGUGACUUGCUGAUGUUGUGAAGGGGCCGAUGUCUUUUCUCCUCGUCUCUUCUCUCCUCUUCUCUGUCUUGUCGUUUAUUUGCUCACUCUGUCCAUCCACAUCACUGGUUGGGCUUCAAGUGAAAGCAGUACUUUCCUUCUUUUCUCCCCUCACACCCCUUCUCAGGGAAAUACUUCUACCGGAUUAGUGCUCUACUGUACUACCUUUUUCUCUCACUCCCUCUUUCCUUUUCUCAUUUUUCUGUCAUGCCCAGUUCACACUAGUGUGGUACACCCCCACCCAAAGCCCCUAGGGAUAAGUCAGAGACACACUCAUCCACACACACACUCGCACACAACCAGGUGUGUGAAGGAUUGGGAGAGCUCACAGAAAAGCCAAUCUCCACUCCCAAUUAUUCUGCUCUCAAGUCGCCGGAUGGAGAGAAGGAGAGAGAGAGAGCGAAGGAAGGAGAGAAAAUCUCUUUGAGUGUCUGCACAGAGGGGAAUUAAUUAGAAUGGAAAGAAAGAUAGAGUGGGUCUCUCUCGUUCCUCUGCUGGAGUCCUGAGAAUACUCCACAAUUAGCCAGAGUCCCAAACACAGCCUGCAGGGCUGGAGACAGGAGAGAGGGAAGGAGGGAAAAGAGAUAGAGAAAGAGAGGGAAAGAGAUUAAACCGAAAUGAAAAAUGCCAAAGGGACAUUUAGAAGCAGAAGUUGUUAGGAAAUGAUUUGAGUUUUUAUAUAUAUACCCGUCACACGGACUGGCUGUCCGGAGUGCAAUUCCUUUUUUCUCUCUUCUCUAUUCGUCUUUUUCUUUUCUCCUCCACUCCUCCAUACGUCCAUGGGGCUCUGGAUAAUCCAUAGAGGAAACUGGAACGUUUGGAGUAUCUUAAAUGGACAGAGUUCACUCUUCCUCUCUUUCUCCACUCUUUUUCCUCUCCUCUACCUCUUCCAGCUUGUUGGCUGAUCAUUUUCUUGACCACGGUGGUGACACAGAGUGUGUGGGUUAGAAGGGCGUGGGGGCUGGAGAGAAAAAAAGAAGGAUGGCUGGAUGGAUGGAGUGAGAGGGAAUAAGAUACAGGUGGAGUGAUGACACUGGGAGAAAUAGGAGCGAUGGAGGCAGGUGGAAGGGAUGAAGUGCAGCAGUCUGUGUGUGUGUGUGUGGAGGGGGGAUCCUUUCCC
ensembl:lncRNA